rnacentral:tRNA from 1 species
UGCGGGAUCGUCUAAUGGUAGGACGCUGGGUUCUGGUCCCAGAAAUUGGGGUUCGAGUCCCUGUCCCGCAGCCA